rnacentral:misc_RNA from 1 species
GAUGAAGAACGCAGCGAAAUGCGAUAAGUAAUGUGAAUUGCAGAAUUCAGUGAAUCAUCGAAUCUUUGAACGCACAUUGCGCCCGCUAGUAUUCUGGCGGGCAUGCCUGUUCGAGCGUCAUUACAACCCUCAAGCUCUGCUUGGUAUUGGGCUCUGCUGGGACCGGCAGGCCUUAAAAUCAGUGGCGGCGCCACUCGGCUUCAAGCGUAGUAAUUCUUCUCGCUUCGGAGACCCGGGUGCGUGCUAGCCAGCAACCCCCAACUUUCUUAGGUUGACCUCGGAUCAGGUAGGGAUACCCGCUGAACUUAAGCAUAUCAAUAAGCGGAGGA